rnacentral:rRNA from 1 species
AUGAUAUCAUGGCCUCUCUCUCUUUUUUUCUUUUUAAGGUUUAUACUUUUUGUUCUUCGAUCUGGGUUCGAUCACCAAGCCAAAAGGGAUGAGCUUGGUGCAUCAGAGAGCACACAUGGAUGUGUGCCCUUUGUUUGGGUCCUUGAAGUAGGCCUUUUUAGAAGCACAAAGGAGAUGUGGAGAUUUGGGUUAAACUCUCCAUGUGUUUGUACAAACGAAACAGUUAUAUUGAUUGUUGAUCACUUAUCAUCAUGCAUGUUUUGCCGGGGGGCUUUCCUUCCGGUUUCCCCUUGGUUGUGCUUUUGUAUUCAAGUUGUCAAGUCACUUUAUCAUCAACACUAUUGUGUUGGUUGUUGUUUGUGA